rnacentral:lncRNA from 1 species
GCAUGAUGGGUCAGGGGCUUCUCAGGUUUCUACAGCCCAAAUACUGCCCAGCUCCGGAGGCUCCUAUCCCACCAGGAGUAGGUAUAACACAAAUCCUUCCCAAAGAUCAUGCGGUACCUGCUGAGUGGAUGACACCCUCAACUCUUUCCCAGAGGCCCAGGGUCCCAUGGGGCAGGGAAACAAGGGAAGAUGGAGCUCCUCGAGGGCCUGACAAGGGGCUGAGUCCCAGCCAGGGCCUCACCCAAGAUGAGGAUUCUCCAUGGGUUUGGAGUUGGGUUUCCUUUUCCUGCCCUGGAGGAGGAGGCAGAGGUACUAGGAUGGGGGCUGAGCUCCAGCUGAGCAGGGUUAAGGGAAGUGUGUCCACCAGGCAUCUGUGCAUGGGGGAGUUGUUGGGAAAGCACUGGCCACUGCCCAGUGUUCUGCCCCAGGGCAGCUCAGGGGGCCCUGAGCACCUAGGGUCCAGGAAGUGCCG